AUUGAACGCUGGCGGCAGGCCUAACACAUGCAAGUCGAGCGAGCGGCGGACGGGUGAGCAAUGUAUGGGGACUGCCCGAUAGAGGGGGAUAAAACCUGGAAACGGUAGCUAAUACCGCAUACUAUCGGAUAACCCAUAUGGGAUUAGUUAGUAGGUGAGGUAAUGGCUCACCUCGGCGACGAUCCCUAGCUGGUCUGAGAGGAUAAUCAGCCACACUGGGACUUAGACACGGCCCAGACUCCUACGGAGGCAGCAGUGGGGAAUAUUGCACAAUGGGCGCAAGCCUGAUGCAGCCAUGCCGCGUGUAUGAAGAAGGCCCUAGGGUUGUAAAGUACUUUCAGUCGGGAGGCGUUACCGGCAGAAGAAGCACCGGCUAACUCCGUGCCAGCAGCCGCGGUAAUUC
rnacentral:rRNA from 1 species